GUCUACGGCCAUACCACCCUGAACGCGCCCGGUCUUGUCUGAUCUCGGAAGCUAAAAGUUCAUAUAGCAAAUUGUAAAUU
rnacentral:rRNA from 1 species